AGUGAACGCUGGCGGUAGGCCUAACACAUGCAAGUCGAACGGCAGCACAGUAAGAGCUUGCUCUUACGGGUGGCGAGUGGCGGACGGGUGAGGAAUACAUCGGAAUCUACUUUUUCGUGGGGGAUAACGUAGGGAAACUUACGCUAAUACCGCAUACGACCUACGGGUGAAAGCAGGGGAUCUUCGGACCUUGCGCGAUUGAAUGAGCCGAUGUCGGAUUAGCUAGUUGGCGGGGUAAAGGCCCACCAAGGCGACGAUCCGUAGCUGGUCUGAGAGGAUGAUCCGCCACACUGGAACUGAGACACGGUCCAGACUCCUACGGGAGGCAGCAGUGGGGAAUAUUGGACAAUGGGCGCAAGCCUGAUCCAGCCAUACCGCGUGGGUGAAGAAGGCCUUCGGGUUGUAAAGCCCUUUUGUUGGGAAAGAAAAGCAGCAGGUUAAUACCCCGCUGUCCUGACGGUACCCAAAGAAUAAGCACCGGCUAACUUCGUG
rnacentral:rRNA from 1 species